rnacentral:rRNA from 1 species
AUGGAUCCAUUAGUCAACCAAGGGUGGACCUCAUCAGAGGAAGAGGAGGCAAGGUCAGCCAUUGCUAGGCACAACAGCCACACAAUCGUGUACGAUGACAAGAACAAGAGGCACAACAACAUCGUGGAUGCUCUCCAUGAAUUAUUCCCUUCAAAGACAAGGCAGCAGGUAACAGAUCUUUAUGUCAAUCUCGUCGUGGAAUCAUAUAUGAUGCAUUCGGGGGAGGAGAGACAUGUUGUUGGUAGCAACACACAUAGCGUUGGCCCCAUUAACCUAGUGAACAAUAACUUUGGGGUGUCGGAUCAGGAGAUUGGUGCUAGCAACAUAUGUGGCAUCAAUACCAUGGGUGACCAUGUGAUUGGCGGCUAUGGGGUACGAGAGGAGGAGGAGGCAGCAACCAUGAAUGAUAAUGGAUUGAUAUUUGGUCAUGCAUUGGAGGAUACGAGGAUCAUGGAGACGAAGGAAGCACCAUUGAUGGUAGACAAGAACAAGAUGCAGAUUUUGGAGAACAAUAUUACUAGUGAUCAACCAGUUGUUCCCCCACGCCAAGGGAGAUUUUGGACCAUCGACGAACACAAGUUGUUUCUCCGUGGCCUAGGUGUCUACGGUCGUGGUGACUGGAAAAACAUAUCCAAGCACUUUGUCACUACUAAAACUCAUGUCCAAGUCUCAAGCCAUGCACAAAAGUACUUUAGGAGGCUACAUAAAAGAGCCUCGUUUGGGACGCAACGUUAUAGCAUCAACGAUGUUGGGCUACAUGAUGAGGACCCAUGGUCGAUGAAUAAUAGUUCUGGUCCCUCGCAAACGCUUGGUUCUACUGGUCUCAACAAUGAAACAAGCUUAGGGUUGCAGGCUCCGCUAAGCUCAUCCAUAGUCAUGAACAACCAGCCUCAGUUAUGGCCACCUUUCAUAUAUAGUCACCAAGUAAAUCAGCAGCCAGUGUGGAGUGAGCAUCAGAUGUUGGGGUCUACUGGAGUUGUAACGGAUGGCAUGGGAAAUUCUGCUCCUCCAUGUCAACAAGGAUUGACAUGUUUUCCUCUUGGCAAUGUAUGA